UAUCCUGGCAGCUGUGCUGGAUGCCCGCUA
rnacentral:piRNA from 1 species